rnacentral:SRP_RNA from 1 species
GCCAGGCAUGGUGGUGCAUGCCUGUAGUCCCAGCUACUUCGGAGGCUGAGGGAGGAGAAUCGCUUGAACCCGGGAGGCAGAGGUUGCAGUGAGCUGAGAUUGCACCACUGCACUCCAGCCUGGGUGACAGAGUGAGACUCUGCCUCAC